UACGGAGGGUGCAAGCGUUAUCCGGAUUCACUGGGUUUAAAGGGUGUGUAGGCGGGUAUUUAAGUCAGUGGUGAAAAUCUCCAGGCUCAACCUGGAAACUGCCAUUGAUACUAUUUACCUUGAAAUUCUGUUGAGGUGGGCGGAAUACAUCAUGUAGCGGUGAAAUGCUUAGAUAUGAUGUAGAACACCAAUUGCGAAGGCAGCUCACUAAACAGACAUUGACGCUGAGGCACGAAAGCGUGGGGAUCAAACAGGA
rnacentral:rRNA from 1 species